ensembl:lncRNA
AUUUAUUUUCACAGAAUUAGAAAUGUCAUUCAACUUUAACAUGUUUAUAUACCGUCAUACUUAUAUUUGCUUAUGUUGCUUAUAUUUGCAUGACUUUUGAUCUGUAAAGCUUCAAUUAACGUUUCCAAAUCAGUGUUAUUUUUGAAGUGUUUGUUAUCCAGUAUUCACUGCGCUAAUCAUUGUCGAGCUUUUAGUCGGAGAGUUUGAAAUAAUCUGUGAGCUCAAACUUUUUAUGAAGUUCUUUAUACUCACUUCCAGCUGCAAAAUACAACUUUCCUCUCAACUGAUACACAUGCUGAGCGAAAUAAGGCUUAAACAUGUUUUACACGGUGAUUUUCCCUCAGCAGGCACGUGGAGAUGGGCGUUGAUGGAACAAACAGACGCGAAAGUCCACAUCCAAACGUCCCUCGUUCCAAAUCGCUGUUUUAUCGUUCCGCGUACAAACUUAAUUUACAUUCCGAAAUUCCAGUCGGUGAUUUUGACACUUCUCAAGUUGCUUUCCCUCUUUACAUGUGUAAAUAAAAUGGUGGAAAGCAGAGCGUCCAGUGCGUAACCGAGUGUAAUCAAAGAAGCGGCGCGACGCGCGAAGACGCACAACACAGAUGCGAUCAAAUGAGUUCACGGAGUUUACCGUGAGAUUCGGCUCUCUCUUUGUCCCACAGCACAGUAAUCCUUCACCAGGACGUCCUGAAGUUUACUGGAACGCCGAAGGAACUGGAUCAGAGAUUGCAGACGGAUCUCAAAGUCUUAAAAACACUGAACAGAAGUACUGCAAGUCUCUGAAAUGACCUCCUGAUGUUUUUUAAGGUCACGUCCCGCGCCAGCUUUGGAUGAAGAGUGGCCCAAACAGAAGGACACAGCUUCAGUCAGACUCACUUUACAAGGCUGUCAAAGACGCAAGCACCAGCUGCGAGAGUAGACCUGAAACGAGCACGUGGAGCUGGCUCCACACGCAUCUUCACCGGAAACGGUCUAAAUGGCUUCAGAUAUAAGACAGUCGACAUCUACGAGAUGGUGGCAGCCGCCAUUUUGUGAUGUGCUUGGCCUCAGAGAGGUGAAGUAUAUUUCCGUGAGUGUUUGCACAGCAACAUAUUAAUAUUAGCCUUAUGUUUUCAACAAUCCUCCUGUUCUGAAUGUGGUAUCUGGGUACGUUUAGCACGUAGCAUCUUUCGCAUAUUUUCUCGUGCACUCCGCAGUGCAAUAAUUGUGAACGAAUGCACAGCUAUUGCAAUCGUACCACUUUUGGAUUUAUGAUUCAUCUGAAAUAUGCUGUUCUGUUUUGUCUCAAAUAGGAGCCGUGUUUAAACAUAAAGGCAGUGUUAAAGUUCAGGUCAUUAAUAGUUGGCCAGUAACCUGUAAGUAAAUGCUUGUCCUUGGUCGAACACGAUGGCACUGCUGCAGCACCACAAACAAAAAAAACUAAUAAACGGAGAGACGUUCCAGCGAAAUAACAAAAGAUAAAGCUGUUGCUGUGCUGCUCGCUCAGUCUUUGGGGAUGCAGUGGGCUAUCAGAAGUUUGAAAUUAAAUAUAAGCAUGUACGGUUUUAUCUGCGAGGGCACCGAUUGGUCCGAAGCCGUGGCGAGAUGUGACGUGGGAGGAAAACGGCGGGGUCCCUACCUAACACCGUUGAUGAUGUCCAACAGGCCGCACGAUCCACGCAAGCUUGCUUUUUCACUCCGAAUGCACUAACUUUGCAGUUCUGCUUGGCAGUGUGUUAGUGUGUGAGGACAGACGUGAGCCAGUGGCGAAGGGGACGGGUGCGCCCUCGUGCAUCGGCCAUGUUAGAUCAGCCCGAUCGCAGCAUUCACACUUUUAGACAUUGAAAGACGCUGGUUAGGAAAGCAGCCCCACCUUCUGAAAUGUCACAAGUCUUCCCACAAUCCCCAGAGAGACUGCAAAGAGAAGUGUUGAGUAAGUCCGCAAGAGCUGGAAAGAGAUUUUCGCAGUUCGCAGGCUUUCUCUCUUUCUGCGCUCUCAUUAGUUGAGCCGCCGAGAGGAAGCGUGAGGGGGAGAGAGAGAAAGAAAGAAAGAAAGAGAGAGAAUGAGCGUGUGCUCUGCAUUCGGAGGGAAAAAAAGUUUGUACAGUGAGUCCGGCCUCGAGGGGUUUCUGGAGCGAGAGCCAGAGCAAACACAACCUUUUUUGCUGUGUCGUUUUCCUUUUCAUUUAUUACAAUAGCGCCUGCCAUAGCGUUGAACACUGGGAAGAAAUGGAGGGAAACGAUAUCGCCACACAUCCCUUGCAGCACGGUGAGGGUGUGUUUGAGGGAACGUCUAAUGUUUUUUGUCGUUUUCUUUCCCAGCCUCGUUCUGUCACCGCAAGGGAGGGAUUCAAGGGAACGGGGCAGAUGGACGGAUGAACGAAGGGUAGAGAGAUAGAGAGAGAGAGAAAGAGAGAGAGAGAAAGGGCACGUGAGGAGAGCAGUAUCGUGGGGGUGGAGCCUGUCCAUUUUCCUCCUUUCUCAUUGGCUGGAAGGUCAGAGCUGUUCCUCAAAUCCAGUGCGGAGACUCUGAUUGGUUGGAUGUGGGUGUUUCUUUAAGUACAGGCACUUUUAUGAACCAGGAGUUGAUUUAUAUUAACCAACAGACUUUAAUUUUUGCUUUUAAGAAAUGCUUUCAUUUAGGUUUUCUUUCAAAUAUUUGUCCUGACCCUAGUCUGAAACUAUGAAAAUGCAUUGUAAAAAUAUUGAUUGCAUUUUUAAAACUAUGGUGUAAACAAAAAGUUACCAUUUCAAUAUUUAUAAUGUGAAAAUGAUUUAUAAAUUUUUUUGUGCAUAAAUUACAACCGUCUGUUAUGAGUUUCAGUGUAAUUUCCACUAUGACAAACCGUUUCGCCCCUAAUAAGUUUAGUCAGUGAAGACCUCGAGAUGAUAUAUGACACUUGAUGCAUUAAGAAGUCAAAGUUAAAUUAAGGUAAUUACUGGACAUGUAUAGUGGACAAUUUAAAUGAACUAGUAAGAUUCGGAAAAUGUCUGUUUUAGGAAACUCUAUUUUCAAAGUCGAGUGAACUUGAUGGUUUAAAGUAACAUUAUACUUUAUUUGAGGAAGACACCGAAGUUUAAGUUGUUAGUGAACAAAAAUCCUCCUUUUUUCACGUUCAUGUGCAGAAUUCAAAAUUAGCUUGUUGAGUCCGGACAUACAUGUGAACAAUGCCAUUUUGGCAUCAAAUACUUGGACACGCCAUUUCAUUUUUUGGGGUUAUAUGUGGUGUUAUCAGUCCUUUUUGGAUUGUUCGGAGAAGUCUACUUUGUGUUCGAGAAGAAAUAAACCUGCAGCAUUCAGGGUUUCGAAAUGUUAAAGUGUACUUUUAAAGCAAACCUUUAAAGCAACCAAAUGAAUGUUUGAUGGAAAGAAGAACUAACAAUAAAUCUACUGUUUACGUUCAGAAACUGUGUGGAAUUCGAAGUUUCAAAUACUUUUUCUGCAGAAAGUUGCGUUCUUCUGCUGUGUUUCCACUCCUUUUUCUUUCUUUCUGGUUGGAUUAUCUGUGUGUGUGUGUGUGUGUGUGUGUGUGUGUGUGUGUGUGUGUGUGUGAGAGAGAGAGAGAGAGAGAAAAACACACUGAGUCUGCGCGCUGGGGGAGGAGUAUCUAUGUCACACUCUCUCUCUCUCUCUGUCUUUCUCCUCCCGCUCCGUACUUGCAGUUUUUCCGCCCUCCCACUUCUCUCUCUCUCUUUUUCUCUCUCUUUCAAGUGCAAGGCCAUGUGGGACGUCUGAUGAGGAGUUUCACCCCUCUACGUCUCCAGUUUCAUAUCUCUCUUUCCCUCUCCACCGUUCUUUCGCUUUCCGUACGGGUUCCUCGAGCUCCGCUGUUUUUGCAAGGUGGAGACCCACUGGAGACUAGUUUAGAGAGUGUAAGGGGGAUAAAGGGGAAAGAAAAAACCAAGCUUCUUCUUUUUUUUUUUUUACAGUGAGGGCCUCCUGACUAGAGCGCGAAAGAGGCUCCCCCACAAGCCUGCCAACACGCUCCCAGAUUUCCAGUAUGUUUCUGUGCUUUUUCAUGCACCCGAUUGCGGAAUUUUAGCAAGGUUUGCAACUGCAUUCGGUUUGCGAAGUGCCUAUUUUGACAUUUUCUUUUUCAAUUUCAGUGAGCGGCCGAGUCCACCUUGACCCGCAGCCCACGCCGGUGCAGGGCCAGGCCAAAAACCUGCUGGAUUUGCCAAUUGGAAGUACUGACCUACGACUUACCCGUUCCCGAUGCAUUCGGACAGGGGAUUCCGGAGUGAAGCUGCUCCACUCUGGGACAGGUGCCAAUUGCUCACAAAAGGCGAGUGAAAAUAUCAGUGAUCUGCACAAGGAAACGUCGGGGGUGAGUGGAAAAUGCAAACUCGCAUGCAUCCGUGCAACUAACGCAGAAAAAAGUGAAGGAUGGUUGCGAGGGGAGGGGAAGACACAGAAAAAGAGGAUCGUGAAAGAAGAGGUGGGGGCGUUUAUUCAAGCCUGUUUGAUGCUCCUCGGGCCUUCGAGAGCCGAUCGCAUGUGCCGUGGUAACUGCGGGACCAUUUGCAUGUGGCAGACACGCUAAUUGUGUGUUUGCUAACACGCACCAUUCAGCGAGACGCGCUCCGGUCCACAGACGGUGUUCACACACGCCUCCCAGACGCCCCGGAGGCCUCCUAUUGUUCCAGAGGCCCAGCCGAACAGCCGGAGAGCCUAACCAGAGCCCUAUGCUGGCCUGCCGAGAGGAGAAACUGGAAUUGGAGACCAGACGGGAUAACGGAACGGGACGGACUCGCAGCCCCUCUCUCUCUUUCUCUCCGCAGCAAGAAAAAAGAGGCCUGUGGGAAGCGCUGCCUCCGGACGCUGACGUCCUCGCAGAUGUGUGUAAGUCACAGCAGCGUGUGCAAAUCUGUGUGUAUGUGUGUGUGCAUGCUUUUUUCCCUUUUCGAUACACUGAUUGCUUACAUGAUGGAAGCAUUUAUAACAUACAUUUCGGAAGCACAGCGUACGGCGAUUAAAAUGCACUGAUUCAGAUAAAAUGCAAAGACACCGGCAAACUUCUUUUGUGCAUUUUCACAUUGUUUGCAAUUUGAAUUUACGAAGCGUCGCGGAAUUCAGUAUUAUUCCGAAAUGCCUGCAAAUGCAGUAAACUCUCCAAAAUAAAUUUCUGAUUACAAUUAUGUAUCUUAAGUUUGCUUAUGCUGAUCGUUUUCAACCAUGUUGAUAACUGAAACUUUUUUAUAUAGCGGCCUUGUUUUAUUAAAUAUAACAUGGUGAAAAAUGUAUUUUGCAGUAUUUAAAUUUGGGUCAAAAUGUUGUUAAAUCUUACUAAAUUAUAAUCGGUAGCAAUAAUCGGCUUUACUCUUUGUAUUUGGCCUCUGUUGAAUUACAAUCUUGGCAACAGAACUGGGUCUUUGAUCCAUUGUACUGAGCUAACUGUGAUUUUUAUUCAUUGCAAUCUUUUUCUUCUUUGAAUUUAAAUAUAUUUAUUUUAAUUGCCAUUGUAUACAGUGAUUUUUUUUUUUUUGUAUGUGUGCUUUUUGAUCAAAUAUAUUUUAAACCCUCUGUUAAGGUAAUGUGUUUGCACCAUGCAUUUUAAAAGCAACAAAAUUGUUAUAUAUUCCUGAUAAUUAUGAUUAACACAUUUAUGAUCAAUUUAAUGUAAAUUUCUUUUUUAAGUUUUUAAGACAAUAUGGCGUCCCUAAAUUUUAGAUAUAAUUCAUAUAUUUAUAUGUAUCGGGGUAUUUUAUAAAUUAAAGCUAAAUAUUGAAACACUAGAUUUUAUAAAUAUAUUCCCGAAAUAAUAUUACAGUGAAUUCUGAAACUAGAACAAUAUUUAUUUACUAUUGGUUAUUUCUGAUUUGUAGAAUUUGGGAUUGUGUUUUUUGUAAAGGUCGGUUGUUUCUAAUAAUUCUCAGGUAGUUUUUAGGACAGAGAGUUUGAUAUUGUGCUGUAACGCGUGUAAAUUUAUGCCUUCCAGCCAAAUACUCCUGCUAUAACUGUUAUUGUGGGUGUGGAAUUAUUCAAUUGGAGUCCCGGAUUGUGGCCUAGUGUGUGUGUGUGUGUGUGUGUGUGUGUGUGUGUGUGUGUGUGUGUGUGUGUGUGUGUGUGUGUGUGUGUGAUUUUACCUGCAGUUGUCAUUGAAUUUGCUGACUUUGGGAUUUCACUGUGGUUGGCAAAGAACUACCAAAGCAGGAACAGGGCACUUCAUCGAACGCGGAGACUUCUAACAUUUUAAUUGUGAAUUAUAUAUUAGCUCCACAUGCAUGCACACACACACACUUUUACAGAAGUUUUUCAAAAAUACAUAUAUCUCACAGCUUAAAAUGGAAUUUUGGGAUAGUUCUAAAUAUUUGCAUCUUGAUUGGUCAGGCAUGCAGUUAGAAGUACUUAAAAACACAUAUUUAUUAUGGCAAAAAUUUACUACACAGCUUUAAAUUGAAUUUUGGGAUAGUUCUAAAUAUUUUUGAACUCGAUUGGUCUCACACACACACACACACGGCCUGCAGUGAGAGGUUCUCAUUCCUCAGUAAUUUGGGCCUCAGUGUGUGUGAAGUCCACCAUUUUGGUUCAGUGUGUGAAUUGAGCUCUUUCGGUAUUUUAAGUCAAUAUAGAAAAAAUGGUUCUAUUAUAUUGACAAAAUUAAACCCCAGACAGCAGAUUAAUUGUUUUAGAGUUGCCACUAUAUUUUAAGACAGUAAUGUUCUGUCGAAAGUAGUUUAUUUACCAAAACACACACACACAAGUCCUGGUUUUAUUUCAUAAUUUAAUUAUUUUGUGCACAUUUGUUGAAAACUGAAACACUGGCUUAUAUCAGUGUAUGUACACACACUUUUACCUUUUACCUUUUAAGGUCCUCACUUAGAUAAAAGCGAUCCUUAAUUGAAAUCAGUGUUUUGUUUUUUAAUUUUGUGCAAAGUGCAAAAUGAUUCGGACAGGUUUUAGAGUUAGUCUAUUAAUUAUAAUUAGCUUUAUAUUAAAUCUGUAUAAUUUUAAUGGUAAAAUAUAUGUGUGUGUGUGUUUUGCAUUGUCGUCAGCAUGUGUGUGUGUGUGUGUGUACUCGCCUUUUAAUUUUUUUUAACUAAACUAGCAAACACACAAUAACCAGAAUUGCAGAUAUUAUAACACGUAUAACAUUUAGUGACACUUUUAGUGUGUGAUUGUGAAUUGUUGUCUAUUAACGUGUGUAUUGUCUAACCUACUGUAGACAUUUUAGUCCCAAAAUAACACUGCAGAAUGUUUAGUUUUUCACGGCUUUUAUGAUGCACUGCAGGACAUUUAUUGUGCUGCAUUUUAUGUUUGGUUAAAUCCAUUUAAGUUUUUUUAAACCUAUUAAAUUCGUAGUAAUUGUCUUUGUUUCUGAUGUUUUGCAUGUAAUGUGUUUGAGACAUUACCAGUGCAAUACAAAGACACGCAACAUUCAUUCCGUACAUUUUUAAAUACACUGCACAAAUGUUCGUGUAAUAUAACAAAUUAUAUAUUUAAUCAUAAUUUGUUUCUCUUCUCCAAAGUCCGAACUUUCAUUGAGUUCACCACAAUGUUAGGAUAAUUUGUGUUAGCUGACAGAUUUAUUGGGUCAUUUACUGCUAGAUAAUCCUUUGUAAAGUUUGUUGCAUGAUUGUUAGUGGCAAAACGGAUUUACACAUCUUUUCGUGUUUUUGCCAUUUUGUUUUACAGAAAAGUGAGACAAAAAAAAGUAAAAGGAUGAAAGAGUGUGUGUUCGUGUGCAUGUAUAGUCAUGAACAGUCAUUUACAUAAUUAAAAUACAAUUAUAGUCCCACAAUUUACAUGUUUAUCAUGCUCAUGUGCAAAACGGUAAAUAGAUAUUUGUAGAUUUUGCAGGAAAGUAAAAAAUAGGUGUCCGCUUCAACGAUCACAAAAUAUUACAUAUUAUAUUUAAAUGUAUAUUUUAAAAUGAAUUAUCUAAAAUAUGUUCUUUAAAAAAAAAAAAAAAAAAACACUCUGCACAGUACUUAGGUUCAUAAUAAAGAAAUAAAGCAUGUCAAAGAAAAUUUAUUUUAAUGCAUAAAAGAAUACAAAUCUUCACACAUCGCAACACAUUUUAACUUUUGAACUCUAAAAGCUUAGAUUUGUUUUGUUUUUUUGGAAAUUCUCAGUUAUUCUUUAAUAAUUAUAAAUGUGUCCAUACUGGAUUCAAUAGAUAAUAAUGCUAAUUUCUGUUUUUUUUUUUAUCUCUGUUUUAAGUUACAACACCUUGUAUUUUUUAUAUUUGUACUAGCUCGUUUUUAGUUUGUAAAUGAAAAUUAUGUGCUUUAAUGAGAAAUGCAUUCAAAAUUUGUUGCCAUUUUUCCAACUAAUGUCAUGUCUUUUUUUUUUUUUUUUGCAGAAUCACCAAAUAUAAAAUUUGUAGGACAUCUUUUUGAAUUGCAUAUUCACAUUUAACCUCCUCUGUUCAGUUUUUCAUAAUCAGCUGAUUUAAUAAUCACUAAUUACUACACCUUUUGUUGAUCUUUGAUAAAUAAUUCCUCACAGUCAUCAAUUAACCAUAUUGAUGAUUUACUUCAUUAAACAAAUAGCGAAAUGUUUAUGAACAGCAUGGAUUAAUUAAAAAAAAAAGUGUUAUUUCAGGAUCACAUGUAUAGAGUGAAAUACCACAAAUACAGCAGUAACUGUGUUUACAUAUAUAAGUAUUACAAUUAUAAUAAUAUAUGUUGUGUCUUUUUCUUCAGGCAAAAGUAGAGUUUGAAAUGGACUAACCAAGAUGCAGCCCUGCACAGGUCAGUACGGAUAUUAUUAUCUUUUAUAACUACUUUAAUAACAUGGGGAAAAAUAUUUAAUUUAGGAAAUGAAUGCCUGUGCAUUUAACAAUCUCAUGCGGUGGCUUUAUAUUUAUUGAUUAGAUGGUCUGUAUUCUAAACUAUAAGAUGAACUGAAAUGCAUUGAUUGUUUUUUCACAAUUAUUUUAUUUGUUUAAUGAAUCAGAAAUAUAUUUUUUUUUUAGAAAAGAGUAGUUUCACUACUGUUUUUAAACAGUAUAAUGAAUAUAAUACACAUUUGUAUGUUCUACCUUGGUGGAAAACACAUUUACUUUCUUAUGCACCUGAUAGUGUCGCCCUCUAGAGUCCAAAGCCAACUUGACAAUACCAUAAUCACAAAGCAGAUGUCAAAAUUCAUGUGUGAAUUGCCCAGUGCAGUUACCACCGUAGAUGCUAAACUUUAAUAGAAUCACUAAAUUGUCCAAAAGAGUAAAUAAAGCAAGACACUACAGGCAAAAACUUAUUUUUUUUUCAUGCACUGGUCAGUUCUGGGAUUUUGCUUUUCAUAAUGUGUUGACUUAAGGCAAAUUAUACUUUUUUAUUGCACUUAAACUAUUUGCAUUUGUAGAUUUCAAUUACAAUAUUUUAUAAUAUUUUAUAUUUAAUAUUUUAUAUAUUCAAUAACAAUUUUCUCAAAAUGAGUUUGUCUCUCCACUUCAGCAGCACUUACAUACACCAAAAUUUACAGUUUUAUUCCUGUCUAUAUUCUGAAGGAUUUCAUAGAAGGGUUUGUUCAUGUGUCAUUCACCUGAUUUUAUUAUUGAACUUUAUCUCUUUAUGUCUGUAGAUUUCAAUUACGCUGCAUAUCUUUAAAGGUCGUUUACUCAAAACGAGUUUGUUUCUCUACUUCAGCAGCACUCACAUACACCAAAUUUUAAAGUUUUAUUCCUCUCUAUAUUCUGAGGCUUUUUAUAGAAGGGUUUUUUUAUAUGUCAUUUAUACAUCAUUUUAUUCCUAACAGCAUAGUGAAAAUGACUUUAUUUUGGCUUUUGACAGUAUUUACUGAAUUACGAAGCAAUAAAAACAGAAAUCCAAAAUCCCAUCUGUAAAAACCUUUUACUCUAAUAUGUAAAUAGAAUGAAAUUAGAAUUUUGAAUCAGGCUUUGUCCAGUGUUCAUAUAUAUGUUCUGGAAAUAUAUGUAAAUGACUGCACAUUUUAUUAGAUAAUGCAUCAUUUGUUUUUGUUUUUAAAUAAUUUUUCAGAAAAUUGUGAUGCAAAAAAAAUGUCUGCAAUUCUUAAUGGAACUGGGGAAGUAUGGUAAUAUAUUUUGGUUCAUUUUUUUAACCCAGUUCAUCUGUGGUAUUUUGCAUUAACUCCUAGUGCAGCCGCUGUGGACAUAUUUCCAGAUUUAGUCUUGAUUGUGAAUGAUCCACAUGUCAUUUCGCCUACCCACAAGUCACGACAAAACUGUGGGUGCUAACAGAGCUCCUAUCUAGUUAAGAUGUUUUUAUGCUUUUAUUGAAGUUUUCAUUUUUUAAAUAAUGUAAUUUCAUCCUCCUGAGUGGAGGGUGAGAGACUUGUUCAAAGGCAGCUGGAUGUUUUAUCACUGACAGUAAAAUGUCUUCAAAUUUGUGGAAUAAUUUGUUUUUGGUUAAUAUUUGUCAAAAAUUGGUCAAGUGUGUUAAACUGUUGCCAUCAUCUUGUUUACAGCUGAUUAUUAUUUGUUAUGUUUACAGUAGCUGAUAAAUCAAGUGCAAGUCAUGUGAUCUGUGCCUAUAUUUCUGAGUUUGCUCUGAAACGCACAACUUUGGACAGAACAAAAAUGAGUUGGAGAUGAGCAUUGUAGGCUAUCACUCUUAAAAAUAAAGGUUCUUUAUUAGAUACUUCUCUAAAAAAAUAAAGUUUCCAAAAGGGGGUUUCAUAGGGAUGCAACAGAACCUUUCAGUGAACCAUCUUUUUUCUUAGUGUGAAGAACAUUGUAAUAAUCUGAAAAAACCUUUUUCUGCUAUACAGAACCAUAAAGGUUCCAUGGAUGUUAAUAGUUCUUCAUGGAACCAUCAGUGCCAAUCUAGAACCUUUAUUUUUAAGAGUGUAAAGAAUCUUUUGUGGAAUGGAAAGGUUCUAUUAAUGUUAAAGGUUCUUCAUGGAGCCAUAAAAGCCAAAAAUAAAGAUUCCAAAAAGAGGUUUUCGCAGUGAUGCCAUGGAAGAACCAUUUUUGGUUCCCCAAAGAACCCAUCAGUUAUCAGUUCUUAAAAUAACCUUUUUUUUCUUAGUUUGAAGAACAUUUUAAUAAUCUGACAAACCUUUUUCCAUUAUAAAGAAUCUUUUGUGGAAUAGAAAGAUUGGAAGUUAAAGGUUCCUCGUGGAACUGUAGAUGCCAAUAAGAACCUUUAUUUUUUAGAGUCAAAGAAGGUUGUUUAUAUGAUUUAAAAUGUUCUUAACACUAAAAAAAAGGCUUCUUUUAAGAAGUGUUCACAGAAUGAUUUUUUGGAGCCCAGAGUUAGUCUUCUAAGACGGUGCUGCGAAAACCCCCUUUUGGAGCCUUUUAAGAGAACAAGAAAGAAAUAACAGCAUUCCUUCUUAUUUAGCCGCUUAAUUGUCACCAACUGACUGCAUGUAAAUAAGCGCCUUCACAGCAUCCAUCUGUCCCUCUCAGAGUCCUGACCUUGGAUCUGAGCCACAAACUUAUUUUUUCAGCAUUGGCAAGGAUCUAUAGCAGCAUUGUGAUCUCUCUCACCACCUUUACCAGCUGAAAUCCCUCCUAGUUUGGCUAGUUAUAGCACUGUUGGGGAAUAUCUAUCUUAUUUAUCUCUGGAAAAUAACUCACACUGGGUGAAAUCUGCAUUGUUAAUUGUUUGUUAGUUCACAGUUUUGAUGUGCAUCUAGUAAAUUAUUUUUGUGUAUUUGUUAUUUUUAUGUUUCCAUCAUAGUAUAUGCACUUCUUGCAAGAUAAAAAUAGUCAUAAAAGUUUUGUUAAAAAAAUUCAUGAACAUAUUGAAAAUUAUUUUUUUGUAAUUACUGUUUUAUAUUUGAAUAUGGAUAUGAAAAUAGUUUUUCCCAGAAGCACUUGACUUAAUAUAAGAGCAAGAGCAGUAAAACAGGUUUGUUUGCUACUAGUAAGCAAUGCUAGUCUUACACAAAGGGCCAGGAAUGCUAAAAGUUGAGUUGAAAUAAUCAUUUGAGCAAAUUAUUCAGCCACAUCGAGUUAAACUUGCAUGACCUUUUUUGUGCAUUUAGUAAAUUAUUUGUUAAACCUGUUUCCAUCAAAAUAUAUGCACUUCUUGUUAGAUAACGACAUUAAAAAAAUAAAUUUUUAAUGAACAUUUUAAAAUUUCAUUUGGGGGAAGAAAAAAGGUGUUUCCAUUCAACAUUUUCUAUGCAAUAAAAAAUUAGAGGAAGGGCAUCUGGCUGUUAUUAUUGUUUUAUAAUUGAUUAUGGAUUAAAAAAUAUAUAAAUAUUUUUCCCGAAUCACUUGACUUACUCUUAGAGCAAAAAAGUAAAACUGGUUUGUUGGCUGCUAGUAAGCAAUGCUAGUUUUACGCAACAGGCCCAGGAUUGUCAUCGUACCAGUUACUGCUGUUCCCCUACUUGGUUUUGGCAAGAAACACCAUCCAUAUUGCUGUGUAAAAAUGAAUUCUGAUCUAUAUUGCAUAACUGUACCCAAUGCACACGGAUUUCCAUGCCACCUCCUGUAGGAGCGCAGCACAGAAAUCUCUCUGAGAGUUCCUUUCCCACCAACCUGUGUCUGCUUACAUUUCCACCGAGCAGAUGGCCACGCAGCAUGGCAUGGGAUCUCACACGGUGUGACGCACUCACAUAUGUAACGGGAAAACUUCACAAGCGGACCAGGAGAAAUUUGGGUUAUUUUUCUGAUUGAAAGUCUCUCUAAACUAGCUACCACAUCUUAAGGGUUUUUAGAUCAUGCUACGUUCCACAGCUACAAGUCAAAUCUAGAUUUGCUAUCAAAAAUAGUAACCUCAGUAAAAUUAAAAAUGCCAUAAUUGUGUAAAAUUUAUAUAUAUAUAUAUUAUUUAUCAUCUUACCCAUUAUUGCAUCCACAAUUGCACCCAAAAAUGAAGUUUUGCUGAAAUCUUCUCAUCCUCAUGCCAUCCAAGAUGCAGAUGAGUUUGUUUCUUCAUCAGAUUUGGAGAAAUCCAAUGGAGCAAAUCAGUGGAUCCUCUGCAGUGAAUGGGUGCCGUCAGAAUGAGAGUCCAAACAGCUGAUAGAAACACCACAAUAAUCCACAAGUAAACCACUCCAGUCCAUCAAUUAAUGACUUGGAAAAGCCAAAAGCUACAUGUUUGUAAAAAACAAAUCCAUCAUUGAGACAUUUUUAACUUCAAACCUUUGCUUCUGGUUAAAAUACGAGUCCUCUGUCCAUGAUAUUGCUUUCUCAAAUGAAAAAUUUUUCUUGUCUGAAUCAGGAGAGAAAUCUGUACAUAUCAAGCACCAAUUACAAGCCAAAGCAGCUCUAAUCAAAUAUGUGGGUGGAUUUUGAUGUGAGAUGACAACAGAUGAUGGACUUUUUGACUGGAGAAGGACUCAUAUUUUGACCAGUUUGAAGUUAAAAUGCCUUGAUGAUGGAUAUGUUUCUCACAAACACACAACUCCUCUCUUCUCAAGAUGUUAAACUGAUGGACUGGAGUGGUGUGGAUUAUUGUGAUGUUUUUAUCAGGUGUUUGGACUCUCAUUCUAACGGCACCCAUUCAUUUCCAUUGGUGAGCAAGUGAUGUAAUGCUACAUUUCUCCAAAUCUGAUGAAGAAACAAACUCAUCCUAAUCAAAUAAAAUCGAAAAAAGUAAAUAAUAAAUACAAUUUAAAUUGAUGGACAAGAUAUUGUUAUUGUUGUUUCAAAAUGUGACUAUGGGUAAAUUAAAAAAAAAAAGUAUGUAAUUUUACAUUGAAAUACAUUUUAAUGCACUUUUUUUAUUUUGAUUAAAUGAUUACUCAUUACUGAUUACUUAUUUUAUAAUAAAUUAUUUAGAUGAUAGAUAGAUAGAUAGAUAGAUAGAUAGAUAGAUAGAUAGAUAGAUAGAUAGAUAGAUUAUGAUUGUUUUAUAUUUGCCUCUGGAUUCUAAAAUGCAUUAAUGCAUAACAAAUGCAAUUAAGAUUUCCAAUAAAAACUCAAAAAGUUUCAAACUUAUAUCUCACACAAAGCUAUUGUAUAUUAUAAAGAGCGAUGCAUUAACUAUUUCACUGGGGGGUUUUUUAGGAACUUGACAAACAUGGUCACUAUGAAUCAUCAUUACAUGGAAAGAACAGAAAGAAGAAAUUCUCCUGAAGUGUUUGACGCAUAUGCGGAUGCAGACAGACAGAGAUGAAGACAGAACAAGAGUUUGAAACGCUUCUCUUCAUGAAUAGUUUGCUUGUUUCCUGGGACAGAUGAAGUCUCUGGGAUGGACAACAUUCAUCAACAAAUCAUUAAAACUGAAUUACAUGAUGUGCAUAUUUGGAUCGAAUGAUUAAUUGAUUUCUUGAUUUUGAUUUGAGGAUAUUAAAUGAUUUCCCAGAAGAUCUUUUUGUUAAGAAACGUUUCAGAUCACUGUGAUUGAUUUUUCCCUACUGCUUCCGCUGCAGUUUUUUCGAGGAAAGUUUUCGCAGAUGUGCGCUUCAGAAGUGCUUUGCAGAAAUAUGAGAUCAUUUUGUCAUUCGCAUUAUGCAAGUUGGGAGAAUAUUUCAGCAUCUGGAGGUCUCAGCAGUCAUCUGUAGUGCGAUCUUUGGCAUGAAGGUGAUUGUUUUGCAGGACUGUGGUCUCGGGACGCUCCUGAUGUUCGUACAGGGUGAGGUAGUAGGUUGUGUGGUUUCAGGGUAGUGAUUUUGCCCCAUCAGGAGAUAACUAUACAACCUACUGCCUUCCCUGGAGGGCAGCGACACAGCAGCAGUCUUCCAGCAGGAGGCGCCGCUUCUCACACCUUCAACACUGACAGGUACAGUACAUCAACUACACACACAUACUACCAGCACACUUUACAUUUAACAGCCCUUUUCCACUAUCAGCUACCUUUUGUGGACUGGAAAUAUGGAGCAAUAAUAAAAGAAGCUUUAUUUGUUAUCCAUCAAACUUGUCUGUUUUUAUUUUAGGAUUACAGGUCAUUAAUAAUAUGAUUACUUGAACU